UCAGUGGCGCAGCUAACGCAUUAAGCACUCCGCGUGGGGAGUACGGUAGCAAGAUUAAAAAUCAAAGGAAUUGACGCGGGCCCGUACAAGCGGUGGAGCAUGUGGUAUAAUUUGAUGCAACGUGCAGAACCUUACCAGCCCUUGACAUGUAUAGGACGAUAUCAGAGAUGGUAUUUUCUUUUCGGAGACCUUUACACAGGUGCUGCAUGGCUGUCGUCAGCUCGUGUCUAUGAGAUGUUGGGGUAAGUACGGCAACGAGCGCAACCUCUGCCUCAAGUCGCCAUCAAGUUUAGAAUUUCACAAAGAUGUUGGAUAAAUCAUAGGGACAGCCGAAGAUAAGCCGGAGGAAGGUGGGGAUGACGUCAAGUCCUCAUGGUCUUUAUGGGCUGGGCUACACACGUGCAUACAAUGGUGGUUACAAUGGGUUGCGAAGUGGAGAGGCGGAGUUAAUCCUCCAAAAGCCAUAUCAAUUGGGAUUGCAGUUUGCAAGUGGAGCGCAUGAAGUAGGAAUAGGUUGUAAUCGCGGAUCAGCAUGCCGCGGAGAAUAUGUUGUCGGACUUUGUACACACCGCCCGUCACACCAUGGGAGUAGGUUUUGCGUGAAGACGGUGAGCUAAAAGCAAGGAGGCAGCCGGCCACGGUAGGGUCAGGGAUUGGGGAGAAGUGGUAACAAUGUAACCA
rnacentral:rRNA from 1 species